UAAGCCUUUAAUUCAGUCCCGUGAGGCUGAGAAGGAACGGUCAAUAUUGUAAUGUAUGUUUAUUUGCAAUUUUGUUACUAUGAACUGUUACCCUCUCGCCAAUAUCGGUGAGAGGUUUUUUAUU
rfam:Bacillus sp. X1(2014), complete genome.